AUUGUUUUUAUCUUUUCUUUCUUUCAGUUUUCCUCUUUUCUCUUCCUUUUGCCAUCCCUUGUUCCCUUUUCCUCUCAUCUCACAAUUUUUCUCUCCACUUUCUUACAAUUUUUCUCUCCACUUUCUCACUUGUGCCGCCCUUACAAUCUAGUUUUCUCCAUUGUUUUGCCGCCCCUUUCUCCUCCAUUCUUAUUGUUUUAUUCCUUUUGUUUGCUAGCAUUUUUACACCUUUUUAGGCUGAAUCUUUUACUGCCAUUUCAGCAUCAUUGUAGCCCCUUUUGUUACUGAUUUUUCUCUUGCGCUACUGCCCGAAAAGUCUUCACUUUACAUCUAUUUCCUUCUUCGACUUUUGUCGUUUUCCAGCAUUUUUCUAGCCUUUUUAGUUUCUAUUUUGGUCGCGGAAAUUGCCCCUUUUGUUGUCCAUUUAACCUCCUUAUCGUUGCAACAAAACAACCCCAUUUGCUACCAACUUUUGUGGUGUUGCUGCCCUUUAAAAACACCAAAAGAGCCUGUUGUUUUUCUUUCCAUUUGUUGCACAUUUGUAAUGCCAUUUUCUUCACUUUUCCCAUGUUAAAACAACCCCUAAUGUUGCCAUUUUAGUUUGCAUCCGAUUUAGUUUGAAUCAUUAUCUCAGAUCUAGAAAUAGUGAAGCAUAAGUAUUGUUUCAGUAGUGAUCUAAGGCCUUAACCAAUUAUUUCUUUUAGCUACUGAUUUUUUAUGAUUUUUAUGUUGAAGGAUCGAAUCUAAACUCCUCAGAUCAAUAGUGACGACAAACCUAAUUUGCAUUUCCGUUUAGUAGCGAAAUAAUGUAAGUUUAUUUACCAAAGUUGGAUCUGAAGUGUCGCUUAUGUUGUGUUGAUUGACCAAACCCCAUAAAGGUGUUUUAGGCUGAUUUUAACCUUAUUUUGUCCGUGUUGUAUGAUUAGAUUCGUUCGGUUUUGAGUUGGGUAAAAUUGUGGUUUAACAAUUGGGUUGUGAACUUGCGUAAUUCAAGUGUGGGACUUAGUUAAAUGUGAAUUGUGUAUGUGAGUACUUCUUGUUAAAUUUAUUUGAAUAAUGAUGUGUCUUUGAGAGUUGUCUGAAUGAUGCUUAUUUUUUGUGUUUGGUCAAAUUGUGUGUGCACCCUUUAAGGGGGAAAUCGAAUGCACAUAUCUUUCUUUUUUGUGCAUGUUGAAUGUGAAGUGUGGAUCUUACCUUUGUGUGCACUAUUUGUAAUUGAUAUUAUGUAUUAAUAAUGAAUAAAUUAAGCUUGCUGGUUUGGGCAUGGCUGAAUACCCUAAACUCAAAUUAGGGAAAUGCCGAGCAAGGUACGUAUAAAGUAAUUUGGCCGAAUGUUAAAGGUAUGCAUGAUUGUGACGUGCACUGUAUUGUAUAUUAUGAAAAUUGUUAUUGUUCACUGGUUGCAUGUAUAAUAUGUGACUCUCUGUGACAAUACUCGAAUUGCAUAUUAAGUAUGCCCUGACUGUAUUAUACAUUGUUUGUUUGUACAUACCAUUGGUGCCAUUGAUCGAUUGACUGAAAGUGUGCAAGUCAUACACUGAAGCUGUUACCGAAAGCAUGUUAAACAUGUCAUUGUUCUGCACUAUAAUUAUUUCUGUCAUGCAUGAUUGUGUUUCAUUCAUGGCAUAUCAUAUUACAUUGCAUGAGAAUUGGGAUUGAUGGGUGAUGGAGGAGUUUCGUGGAGUUUUAAAGGUAUUUAAAUCUGCAAUAUUGUUGUCAGUGCACUGCAUCGGAGUAUUGUAGGAGGUAUUGGAUAUUGGUGGCUUGACCAUGACAGUGGCAGCACCAUCUGUAUCUUAUUGGCAGCUUGUCUGCAUUAUUGGCGGUUUAUAGCAAUUUACUGGCAGUUUAUCUGUAUUUCUGGUGGCUCGUCCACAUUACUAGCAGCUUUUCUGCAAACUGUUAUUGGUGGUUUAUCCAUGCUUGGCCGUGGCUCCCAAUUGUUUUGGUGAUUCAGUAGACCUAGUUCUAGGGAACUCGUGGUGUGUAACAGAUGGAUGGGUAGGACUUUUUUGAAUUGUCAUUCUCGAGCAUGCAUAUGCAUAACUAUUGGAAGCACCAUGAUUCUGUGAAUUUUGUGUACUACUAUAAUUACCAUAAUCUGUUAGCUUUUGUGCUCAAUUGUUAAAUGGGUUUCUUGCAUGAUUUGUACGCUUUGCAUAUUUUGUUUACCGUUGAUUAAGAUUUACACUGGGCUUUUUAAGCUCAUCCCAUUAGUUUAAUAUUUUUCAGGUAGUUCGCAAGGUUAGGGCUCGGAUUCGGCAAUUUGGAGGUCUCGUCUCAGUUUUUAUUAAAUAAAUUAUUUAAUUGUAUAUUUUAUUUAUUUGGUUUGUAAUAAUUUAUUUUACGAAAUGCGACAUGGAAUUAAUUUUUGGGAUAUAUUUAGUUAUUGCAUGCAUGAACCUUAAGAAUUGGAUAAGUUAAAUAAUUGACUAAAUUAAUAAUUGAUCAUUAAAGUUAGUAAUUAUGGUUUUAUUAAAAAAUUUUGAACACUGAUUUUUCCAUUGCAAAAUUAGAUUUUUUUUUUAGAAACUCUAAAUAACAAUUAAU
rnacentral:lncRNA from 1 species